UGGUUCUGGCAUCGAUGAAGAACGCAGCGAAAUGCGAUAAGUAAUGUGAAUUGCAGAAUUCAGCGAAUCAUCGAAUCUUUGAACGCACAUUGCGCCCGCCAGUACUCUGGCGGGCAUGCCUGUUCGAGCGUCAUUUCAGCCCUCAGGCCCGGCCUGGUGAUGGGGCUCCCGCGGGUGACGCGGGGCCCUGAAAUACAGUGGCGGACUCUGUCAUGUCUCGAGCGCAGUAAUCUCUCUCGCUCCGGGGCGUCGCAGGCGUCUUGCCUUGCAACUACUUGCAACUACUCCUUAAGGUUGACCUCGGAUCAGGUAGGAAUACCCGCUGA
rnacentral:misc_RNA from 1 species